ACUCCGUACGGGAGGCAGCAGUAGGGAAUCUUCCACAAUGGGCGAAAGCCUGAUGGAGCAACGCCGCGUGGGUGAAGAAGGUCUUCGGAUCGUAAAACCCUGUUGUUAGAGAAGAAAGUGCGUGAGAGUAACUGUUCACGUUUCGACGGUAUCUAACCAGAAAGCCACGGCUAACUACGUGCCAGCAGCCGCGGUAAUACGUAGGUGGCAAGCGUUAUCCGGAUUUAUUGGGCGUAAAGGGAACGCAGGCGGUCUUUUAAGUCUGAUGUGAAAGCCUUCGGCUUAACCGGAGUAGUGCAUUGGAAACUGGGAGACUUGAGUGCAGAAGAGGAGAGUGGAACUCCAUGUGUAGCGGUGAAAUGCGUAGAUAUAUGGAAGAACACCAGUGGCGAAAGCGGCUCUCUGGUCUGUAACUGACGCUGAGGUUCGAAAGCGUGGGUAGCAAACAGGAUUAGAUA
rnacentral:rRNA from 1 species